rnacentral:rRNA from 1 species
ACUAAAUAGAUACCCGGGUAGUCCACGCUGUAAACGAUGAGUGCUAGAUGCCGGAUUUUUUCGGUGUCGCAGCUAAACGCAUUAAGCACUCCACCUGGGAAGUACGAUCGCAAGGUUGAAACUCAAAGGAAUUGACGGGGGCCCGCACAAGCAGUGGAGCAUGUGGUUUAAUUCGAUGCAACGCGAAGAACCUUACCUAGGCUUGAAAAGCUUAUGACCGGCUGUGAAAGCAGCUUUCCCGCAAGGGCAUAAGUACAGGUGCUGCAUGGCUGUCGUCAGCUCGUGCCGUGAGGUGUUGGGUUAAGUCCCGCAACGAGCGCAACCCUUACCAUUAGUUGCCACCGGAGCAAUCC